GAAAUGCGAUAAGUAAUGUGAAUUGCAGAAUUCAGUGAAUCAUCGAAUCUUUGAACGCACCUUGUGCUCCUUGGUAUUUCUUGGAGCAUGCCUGUUUGAGUAUCAUGAAAUCUUCAAAGUAAAUCUUUUGUUAACUCAAUUGGUUUCUACUUUGGUAUUGGAGGUCUUUGCAGCUUCACAUCUGCUCCUCUUUGUUCAUUAGCUGGAUCUCAGUGUUAUGCUUGGUUCCACUCGGCGUGAUAAGUUAUCUAUCGCUGAGGACACUGUAAAAGGUGGCCAAGGUAAAUGCAGAUGAACCGCUUCUAAUAGUCCAUUGACUUGGACAAUACUUUUAUGAUCUGAUCUCAAAUCAGGUAGGACUACCCGCUGAACUUAAGC
rnacentral:misc_RNA from 1 species